rnacentral:rRNA from 4 species
AGCAAUCAAGUGCCUUAAGGGUGUUCGGUGGAUGCCUUGGCGCUGAGAGGCGAUGAAGGACGUGCUACGCUGCGAUAAGCCGUGGGGAGCUGCGAAGAAGCUUUGAUCCGCGGAUUUCCGAAUGGGGAAACCCACCUUCGAUAGCCGGAACUCCAAGACCUUAGGUUUUGGGGUUUGACCAGAAAUGAUCGGGACCAUGACCGCAAGGUUUUGGAUUUCCGGUUAUCAAGAGAAGGUAUGAGACUUCUGAAUACAUAGGAGGUUUCAAGCGAACCCAGGGAACUGAAACAUCUAAGUACCUGGAGGAAAGGACAUCAACAGAGACUCCGUUAGUAGUGGCGAGCGAACGCGGACCAGGCC